GGAAAAAGGCCCCAUCUACCCAGGAGGCCUAGCCUUGCCUCUCCGAAGUCCUGGUGCGAGCGGGGCUCAGCGCUUAGCGCUUCGGGAUCCGCGAGAGGGAGCUGCACCACCGAGCUCGGCAAACAGCACAGUUGCCAUAGCAACGCCUGGGGGAGGAAGGCCAAGGCCUUUUCCCAGAGUGUGCUCUCCGCCCGCGGUGCCAACAGUGCCCAGUCACGGUGAUGAGGUCUGAGUCCUCUUCACGCAGGGCUGGGCCUUUGGGACCCUCAGAGGCCCGGACCUGUAUUACAAGAAAUGUCAACAUGUCUCAAGCAAAAAUAUCUUUGAGGAACAAAGGAAUAAUACCAGAUGAAAAUACAGAUUGAAAAAGAUGAAUGAAAAGCACCAGAAAUGGAAUUCAGUUUCAUGAACAGCAAGCUUCUGUCUGGAAUUAUGCUCUACAGAAAGAAGCAAAACAGAUUGGUAUUCAUUCACCAUAAUUACAAAGCUGAGAAUGCUUAUCUUUUGAUAAGAAUGGAUAAAGGCCAUCUGUAACAGAUAACAUGCAAAUAAAAUCUGGGAGUGGAGAUUAAAACAGUCUCUUAUAAAGCAUCCGGAUGGACAAAUGAUAUAGAUGAAUUUACACAGCUCCCAAAUGCUCUUCUAUAAUUAAUCAUCAAAUAAUACCUACAAAUUCAGUAAAACUUUAUUAGCUUUAUAUAUUUAAUAUUUAUAUGAAUGAAUGUAGUAUCCUUUAUAUAUGAAGAAUCACCCAGUACCCUAAGCAAAAACUGUGCUUUAAAUUAAAUAAUUUUCUUGGAAGCCUCACAAAAAGUUUUCCUGAUAUCCCAUUGGCCAGAUUUGGGGAUAUAUUCAAUGUUCUAGCUGAAAUGAAGGUGAAAAAGUAAAUAUGAAGCACAGUCAAGCUUGACAAAAGGAAUCAGGCUCUGCCAGCACAGAAGGACCAGAAGAAGGAUACAAGUUGUGGAGUAUUAGUUGACACAGAUAUUAUUGUAUCUGGUUCAAGAAAACAGUAUGGCUACUAGAAUGCAAGCACAUACUUCCCAAAGAAACUCAGGAUAGUCAACUGGAUUCUAAAGGUUCUACCUUUCUGUUUAAUCAAACUAAGCAAAAUGAUUGCUGAAAACAGUAUAAGGACUUACAGAAAUGACAGACAGAGUAAUUUGACCCUGGAAACAACACACAUUCACAAGAUUUUCAACCAUGGAGAGUCACAAUCACCAAGUGGUUUUAGACUACAACCUAAUUCACUAAACAAUAAAGGAAAUGACCUAUCCUUAAAGUAAAGUUGACAUUAUUGAACUAUUGUCAAUAGAAAAUGAAUUUUGAUUAAAUGCUCACAGCAGGGACUUAGGAACCCACAAGCCAACAUUUCUAAGGAGGUUUAUUCACAUUUUAUUAACUACAAAGCACAUGUACUU